GGAUGAACGCUGGCGGCGUGCCUAAUACAUGCAAGUCGAGCGAACGGACGAGAAGCUUGCUUCUCUGAUGUUAGCGGCGGACGGGUGAGUAACACGUGGAUAACCUACCUAUAAGACUGGGAUAACUUCGGGAAACCGUAGCUAAUACCGGAUAAUAUUUUGAACCGCAUGGUUCAAAAGUGAAAGACGGUCUUGCUGUCACUUAUAGAUGGAUCCGCGCUGCAUUAGCUAGUUGGUAAGGUAACGGCUUACCAAGGCAACGAUGCAUAGCCGACCUGAGAGGGUGAUCGGCCACACUGGAACUGAGACGCGGUCCAGACUCCUACGGGAGGCAGCAGUAGGGAAUCUUCCGCAAUGGGCGAAAGCCUGACGGAGCAACGCCGCGUGAGUGAUGAAGGUCUUCGGAUCGUAAAACUCUGUUAUUAGGGAAGAACAUAUGUGUAAGUAACUGUGCACAUCUUGACGGUACCUAAUCAGAAAGCCACGGCUAACUACGUG
rnacentral:rRNA from 1 species